rnacentral:tRNA from 1 species
GGUCCCGUAGCUCAGCUGUAUAGAGCGUCCGCCUCCUAAGUGGAAGGUCGUUGGUUAGAAUCCAACCGGGAUCACCA